ensembl:lncRNA
GGGAGUGUGUGGGGGAGGGGGGAGGACUAAAGAGAGAAAUAGACAUUACUCUUAAUAAGAAAAGAGGGAGAAGGCUUUGCUCUUGGCCUCUUUCAGACAAUGUGCACACUGUGUGCGGCGUCACAAUCACAAUCAAUCCCCGCCUGCAGGAGACCAACGCACAACCGACCGGCGCGCAGCACGGGACCUCAGCCUGCCGCUUCCAGUUGUUCGGACCAAGUGAAACCAGAACCAGGGUCCAGCUGUCCGCGGCUCUGAGCGGGGGUCUUCGGGGGGGCCCGUGGCGAGGUGGCGUGCGGUGAGAUGGGAAUCGCUCGCUGGGAUCGUAACCCUUCACAGUGCUGAAUCUGACCAGCUGCCGUCUGCCAGUGCUGCUCGUUUUUAGCAUUACGUUUAUUCUCCCAACGUCAUCUCUGUUAUGAUGUCGGCGCUUUUUCCCCGCAAAAGCUUUCGCCAACCAACCGGGUCUGACAUUACAACAGAGGUAAACACGUGCAAAUACGCUCGCAAUAGAGCGUCGGUGUGUCGUGACCUCGACCGCUUACAUACAGCUCAGGAUUUGGUGACGUCACUGAUGGGGUACAACAUGCAGAUUAGAAAGAGACAAAGUAUUGAUCUGGUAAUGAAUAAUAAUCAUGUUGUUGAUCACGUCCUUUAUUAUCACUGAAGAGUGACUUUGUAAUAUAAUCAGUGUUGUUUUGUUUUUUUAAACCUAGUUAACGAACCCAAAAUGUAUCAUCAAGACGUUUUCCCGUCCAGCGAGCUGACGCCACACGAGAGGAAACUCUAUACGUUGUUAUAUUUCAACACUCACUUGAACCUCCCCUAGAUAAGAACAAAUAUGCCUCCCCCGAUUCCCCCAACACACACACACACACACAGCUAUUAUUUAUAGCUCCUGAUCGGGGUGUAAAACAAGACCGCCUCUCUUUAGAAAACCCCGCACCAAAAUAGCAGGUGCCCGUCCAGCCAGCCGCGGUGGGAGGUUCCGGAGCUUGAGGAUAAAUAGGAAGAUGUUUACUCAACGACAGAAUGAAAAAAGUGCUAAUCUCCAAUCAAGUCCCAAAGGCAGAUAGUUAGCAAGGAGAAGCUAAGAAUAGCGGAGCGGGGAACACAUUCCAGCUACGAUGGAGCUUAACUUUGAUCUGGCUGCAGUACACGCUCGCCCUCGUGCACUGAAAAUGAUUAGCACUUUUGUACUUCUGUAGAGUGAUUUAGGAGGAGGAUAUAUAUAGAGAGAUGAACUUAAAGGACAUAAUGUGAUGAAAGUGGAGCAUUAGUGCAUACUCCGCAGUUCAGAGGGAUGGAAAACGCGGGGCGGCGGGGGACUAAUGGAAAGCUCGGUUGGAAAACGUCAAGUGACUGAUGACCUUGGCAGCGAGCAUGUUUUACUGAGGCGGUUGGGUUUCUACAUUAAGAACCAACAUUUAUUAAUUGUCUGUUAGAGCCGUAAAGAAAAGACCAAAAUGUGGUCUGUGCAGUUUACAUCAUACAUUAGUUGUAGUGGAUUUAUUUUUUGUGAUUUUAAUAAACACAAGAUGGACUUCAAAAGCAACUGAUUGAAUUCAUUUGUCAAGUGGAGACUAUUUAUUUAAAAAUGAAUCAAAAUGAGAGACGGUAAAACAAUGAGCCGAUUCUGCAAAAUAAGUCUUCUUGAAGUUGAUUUAGAAGGAGAUAAAAUACGGCUGAUUGUGAUCCAUUGAGUGAAUGAUAAUAAGCAAUGAGGCAUGGGUGUCCAACCUGAUCUCCCUUUAGCUUUUUACACAUUAUUAUUAUUAUUAUUACAUUCUGCAUUAGUGGGUUAAGAGCUGUGAUGUUUCUGUGCCAACAUACACAACCGACAACAGCAACACUUUUUCCAAUUAUUCUACUGACGUUUGCAGGACAGAUGAGUCACUAAUGACGGCGACAUAAUAUCAAGAACUGGAUAUCAAAAUGACUUUGAACCCAAACUGAACUUUAAUAUCAGGUUCCGUAUCGAGUUUGAUCUAUUGCCCCUGGAGGGAAAAGCUCUCCUCGGUUCAUCCUCAGUCUGCACUUCGUGGUCCGUCCUUAUUUCACAUAUUCGUAACACUCUUGUGGUUUUGAUGACUCUGAAGGAGGACGUUCAACAUUUAAGCUCAGAGCAUUAAGACACGCGGAUGGGUUUCCUGAGACGGAGACGUGUCACAGCGGACGACGGGCUGUUGUGCAAAUAACUCAUUGAUAUUCUGCAGAUUAACAGUCACUUUAGACUUAUUAGCAGAGGAACUGUGAAUGUGCAGCAAUGCGUGCAGCGGCUCCAUAUUCCCAAUGCGCGUGCAAUGCAGCGCUAUUUUCUAAGUGCUUUGGACGGUUGUCAACAUGGACCAUGUCCUCCACCGUUUGCUGGACUGUGACCGGCAUGUGGCAGUGGCUAAAAGCCAGUGGGAUUUACUGGGCAGUAAAAGGCCCGUUUGAUGACAAAAGUUGGUUCAAAUCUUGAAAAUUAAACUGGGCCCAAUUUAUUCAGCAAACCAAUAAAGAACAAAACAGUAAACAGGCCACGUAUAUUAAGAACACCUUUGACUAAUUCUAUUAUCUAUAGAAGAAGCACCGCAUAGUCGCGUCAUCAAUGUGAGGUUGCACAUUAACCUCCAUUAAAUAAUAACAGCUGUCUUUAGGCUAUGCUAUGCUAUGCUAUGCUAACCGCCUGCUCGAGAGCUUAAUAUCUAGCACACAAACAGCAGCGUGCUAUCAAUCUUCUCACCCAGCUCGCCGCAAAAAAUAAACUAUAAAAUAAUACUGAACUUCCGGCACUUGUUUAACAAUGUUGUUGAAAUGAAACUAUGAAAUCGUUGCUUCCUGGUUUUUGCUGGAAAAUCUAUUUUCUAGUGACCUGCAAAACUUUUCAAGUUCAUUCAGCCAUUAUUAUCACGUUUAAAGGGAUUAUCCGAAUCAAGCCAAACUCCAUUUAAGGCCAGAACACAAAAAGGUGCAGUUCCCCCAGUCCGUGUUUCUGUGCGGCAGGAAACAUCUCAUGUUGCUCUCCUUAAACAGAACACACGGAGAGGGCAGACACCAUAAAACAAUAAUUCUAUCCACCUGUUGCUCGGCAUCGGGGGAGCAUUUGAACCCCACCUGCAAUUCUUCGGUCUGGCAGACUGCGAUGUCUGUGUGCGCGCGUGUGUUUGCGUGCGCGUGUGACCAAGUGCGUCUCCCCAUAAACAGGUGGGGUUCCCCGCCACAGAUAUCCGGUUCCCGUCUUUGAUAACGCAUUACAGACUUCAUUAAUUUCCCUCGCCGCGGCCACGCACUCGCCGUCUGACAAUCCCGCCGAGGAAUUUUUGUGUGAGCACACCUCCUUGGACUUGUGUAGCUUUUUACAAGCAGAGAUUAACAUGUGCGAAAACAAACGUAAUUGGAGCCUUUAUUGUUUUAGGCGAUGUUAAGAGAGCUGUCUGCGUUGGGCUCUGCGGGGGGAACGCUGAUACCUUCACGACCAAAGUGGAUCUGUGAAGCACAGAUUCACUCAAACAGCAGAAAUGCAGUCAAGCUUUCCUUGAGAGGAAGGACAAAAUGGAUUUGUGAGGCGCUGACGAAUCAUCUUUUAUAGUUAUGUUAACAGGCCUCAAGAGUCUACACACAUUUUGUUUUCCCUUGAGCUGUUUUAAGCCACGAAGCACAACACACACACACACACACACACAUAGUUGCGAAGGGCUAAUUUGAUCUUUACUUUGUUUUCUUGACAUUGAUUGGUGAUUCUCGAGCACAUGGGACACCGGACACCGCGGCCCCCCUCCAUUCUAGUUGUGCGGUGACUCACCUCCUCGUCUGGCAGAUGACACGGCGGCGGCGGCGGCGGGGGCCGACUUGGACCGGACUCCACUGCGUCCACAGCGAAGCCGUGAGCGCCGUGCCCCCGAAAGUAUGCGCAGCAUCCCGACUAACGGAACAAUACCGGGGGAUUAGAGGAGCGCGGGCUAAAUUUAAAGUGGCCCGAGAAUGGCUGUAAAAACACAACCAUCCCCGACGACUUCUUCGUUGUCUCGUCUUUUUGCUAAAAGCACUGCAGCGAGUAACACUCUGGGAAUGUUUGUUUAAACGUUGUGGAGGAUUUGUGUUUGCUGCUGUAGGGUUUGGUCAUUUAGGGCCAAAACCUCUAGGACAGUUUCUGUCAGCAAAGGAAACGUUGAUGUUUAACGUUUGAUUUGGCUUUAAACAAGUUUAAUGUGAGAACAACAACAACAAACAUUUCUCAAACGGUCAAACGUUGUUUUGUAAAAGUCAAUCUUUUUGGUCGGCGUGGGAAUAUGGAUUAUGCUUCAUGCGAUGUUGCGCUUUGAUUCGUCCAUCGCCGGUCCAUCAGUGUCGGCCGUCGGCUUCGUCACAGAACAUCUGCUGUAGACGUUAGCAGCACUGACUUCUAGUCAAAUGCUUGGUGAGCCCAGACAGAAGCUCCACCUUGACACCUUAAAACCGACUGUGGGGGGCUUGAACUUGACCCGGGGAGGGGGAGGGGCCAGAGCUAUCAUUGUUCUCCAGUCAGGACAGACCUGCGUUUUGUCUGUCUUGACUUUAAAUCGAUUUUGUAAGAUAUUAACAGCACAGAAGGGAACAGUUUUCGGACACCACUGUAUCUGGAAAACGACUAUGAGUCAUGCAAACGUGCACGAGUUUCUGUUUUUAUUAUUUCAUUCGUACCACCAAGUGAUUCUGUGCAACCUCACAGACGUGCUCAGGUAAAAGAAACCGAGUCAACAAGCAUUGAUGGAAGAAUGAAACCCUUUCUGAUCAAAUAAGAGCCUCUGGUGCAACAUUGUUGCAUUUAUCUUCAGAAAGCCACACCAGCCAUUGUAAGAGGCCCUCGUAAUGUAGAGACGCAGGUCAUUGUUUUUCGUCGCGUUGUUCAGAAGAGCGCCGGCAUCCGUCGGGGCCUUUGACUCCGUAUCGUUGUGGCUUAACGUGGCUCGGCGCUUUUUCCUCAUCAGACAGGCUUCUUGAUUUAACACUAGAGAAAAAGCUUUUCUGGAAAAGCCGAGGUAUUUUUGGCCACAGCGGUAGACAAAGACCAUGUGGAUGCUUGAUUUUCGAGAUGAUUUACAACACUCGGGCAUCUUUAAAUCUCUGGUGAUGAAAAGACGGACAGGCAUACCACAGCGGCCGCUGAACAGUGGGGGUGGGAAGUUGUGGAUAGAAAAGCAAACAGAACCGUUUCAUCAAGCAAUUUCUGAUCUCCCGCUCCUCUGAGUAUUGAUUUCUGUGGUUCACUGUGUAACUUUGUGUGCGAUCUUUAACAGCUCAAUGCCAAUGCAGCAGUGGCUGUUUUCAUUUAAUUAACAAGGUCAAUCGUUACUUCAAACAGAGCGAACCCUCUUCUUCGUGCCCUAUCUUUGCCUGUUCUUAUUGUUGAGUUUUUCAGAUGGUAUUGAAGACAGAGGGAAUAUGAGAAAAGAGCGAAAAGGCCUCCCCCACACAAGUAAUUCAGUUUUGAGUUUGCUGCAAACAGACAGCAGGCGUAACUGUUGGUGUUUGAUUCAAAACCAUAUUGAUCUCCGCUCCUUUUGAUUCACAUUUUUUUCCCACUCGCGGCCAAAUCCUCCCACACAGGCUCUCGCUUGUGAAAGAUCACUCACAGACAGUUUAGAGAUACCGGCCACGCACCGAAAAAUUAUUCUUGGAGAAUAUUGCUUUUAAACACGUAUCGAUUGCGCUCGCAGCAACGCGGCAUUAUGCGGGCGGGGAGAUGCAGCGGUGAAAAAGGACACUGCGUCAUGAGCUAUCGCUUUCAGUGGCUCGAAGAGAAACAUCUGGUUGGACUCGCCUCCAAAGAACACAAGCCCAGCUAAGGAGACGGCGUGAGUUGGGAGCAGACAGCCUUCAAAACAAACGCCACCAGCUUUGUUGGCUCCCGAUGCAAUUUGCCCCAGGUCUUAUUCGGUUUGGGAGCCAGGAGUCUCACAAUGAUGUCCAUGCGCAGGAGGAACUUAUUGCGAGGCUGCCGGGCGCCGAGGUACAGAGGAAAGGUGAAUAAAGGUGCAGUUACUGUGCUGAUAACAGAUACCCCUCCUAUGAAUACAUUACAUUGUUGCUCCUUUGGACACUGUACAUGGUUUGGCUUUAGAGUAAUCCAUCAACCUAGGGUGAGAAAUAGCCUUCUAUAUUUGACCGUCACAUCUUUAGCUUGUUCUCUGUGUGGGUACAGGGGCAGCUGAGGAGACAACCCUCUCCAUCAGUCAUAGCUGCUGGCCCGAAGCCCGGAGGUCCUGUCACUAAGAGGCUUACGCCCAAGAAUCUUCCCCUCAUCCGUACAAAAGCCAAGCGGGUCAAAAGGCCCGAAAAUGAUUUGCAUAGCCAAUGAGGUACUGACUUUAUGACUAAAGUCCACUAUUUUGACUGGGAGUGGUAAUACGCUGAGGUACACGGCCGACAGCCAACGGACCGUACAACUCUUAAUCGCUAACGAGCAUGACUGAGGAUUUACUACCAUCAUCACUUCAGAAGAACCAACAUGCAGCCAUUCAAACACUAAUCAACCUGGAUACAGUUCAUUUCACUCUUCUGCGUCAGUCCAAUUUAAGGCAUUAAACACAAACAUGAGUCAAAGAAAACGAGCCCCAUAAAAUGCAAGUGUAAGACGGGCGAUAGGAAAACAUUUGGCCAAAAGGAGCCGAAACUGGGAAUUACUUCUGUAACACUGCCGGGUGACCACAAAAAUCUGUCUGUGAACCACGUCAAGACUGCGAUCAUUAUUUCACUCUUUACUCCGGCUUUUCGUCUGCAUUCGUUUACCACCGCAUCAGCAUUUUUCCUCCAAAUGAAAUCCAAAGCCAUUCCUUUCCUUUUCCGCGCCUUUCUCAGAGUUCCCGUCGUACCCGUUAUGGCUUUUCUCUCCUGCAUAAAUACAUCGGCAGUUGAUGUGUUUAAUCCAGUUAGGUUUCUUAGUCAGACUUUUAACAAAUAUGACGUGAGAGAGAGUUUGACAAAUUAAUUGAUCUCAGAGAUUCCGAGUAUUCUAAACGGUGUGACUCAAUAGUUCAGACACUACAACAGAGUUUGCUAUGCAAAGAAAUGGAAAAGAAAUCUACUAUAGCAACGAGCUACCCAAUGGAAGAUACUGUUACUUGACUUCAUGUGCACACAAACGGCAGUAAAGAUCUUGAGUGUUUUAGAUCCGCUGAUUUCAGUUGGCACAUAAAUAUCCACUGGCAAAGUCUGAUAUCUUGUGGUUACGCAACGUAGCCCACAAAAGUACUCAUGGUAGCAAUGAUUGACGUAUUAAGUGUAAAUAAUAGUGUAGCCAUCCCAUGCCUGCAUCAAAGUGCAACUCAGGCCAUUUCUGAGAUGCUUAGAAGUAUUAAACUCUCGGUCAAUAGUAGAACUUGAUGCGGGGUUUCAAGGAACGCUGCAGGACGGCAGGAGAGGCUUUUUAUCCCCAAAUGCACAACUGCAAGUUGUUUAUUCUAAACUUGGCAACUUUGGGAAUUUUGCAAAAGGUUGGAGAGGAUAUGCAAGUAAUGAUUUGUCGUCAUUCCGUUUCAAAUCAGAAAAACACUUACUAAUUAUCUCCGGCGGGCAUCAGGCCUGGGAGGAUCAGUCUGUGCACGGAUGAUCUCACAUACUACUGGACCACCAGCCUGUCUGCCAAUUUCUGAACGUGUGCUUGCGGUUGUUCACCCUUUUUAAAAACAUUUUAUUGACGGGUUCUAUCCCGUCAUUGACUGCUGACUACUCACUCCUACUCUUCCGGUAGAAGCCGCAAGGGACCAACAACUGCGUCAUUAGCAAAAGAGGCAUUUCCUGAAAAUUGGCUAGGUUAAAAACCAGCCGUACUUUUAUGUUACAGGCCACAUUUGUUGUGGCUCAAACAAAACCCGUAAUCAUGAGAGAGGAAGUGUAAAUACCCACACUGGGGGGUGGGGGGGAGGGAGGGGGGAGGGAGAUCUGAUCUAGAUGACCUUUUUAGUCAGGACACAAUUGUUUGUUUUUCACCAUCUAUUACUAUUUAUUACAAAUGAGCGACAAACGAAUUCCGUUUGUCCAUCACCGUGUUGCAUAAUGAGGAACAAAUGAUCCUUGAAAUUUGCAAGAUGACUCGUGUCUGACUUGAUUUUUUACAUUUCCACGCGCUCGCUGCUUUCCUGCAGGUCAAUGCAGUCGAGUGAUGCAGUCAUUCGUUUCUAGGGAAGGCAGCGAACACACGCGACAUUAUCCUGCUCUUGCAUCUUUUGCACUACUUGAAGCAGACAGAACUCAAGAGUCCUCAUUCUCCGCUUGAGUUGACCACCACCCAAAGCCGGAGAGAGGCAUUCUCUACAAUUCCUAAUGCGUUCCAGAGGAGGGGGUGGCUCCCGAAUAUUACGCUUAUACCCCUGAAACCACCAUGUCGCCUUUAAGGAGUCGUUGCUUUGUACGAGGGGAGGAAAGAUUUAAAGAUGAAAGAUUUCUCCUCCUGUUUAGUUUGAUGCUUGUUUUUUCUCAUGCUGGGACCAAACGAGUGGCCUAUCCUGCCACGAGUGUUUGAGUAACGCGCAUUCCUCUGUAAUGACGUUAGUUCUGGUCUCUAGGUGACUGAAGAUGAUGUGACCGUCCCUGCAGGAAUCAGGGAACGAUAACAUCACGUACAAAGUGAGAAUACAAAUUUUCUAAAAUAAUGACGUUACUCGAUGAAAACAGGUAUCGUUGGCUCGUCCACCGGAGAUUCGACGGCUCACUCAGCUCGAAUCUUCCCCGAAAUAAUGUUUCCUCUUCGGCAGAGCCGCAGCAAAGUCAGUGAGCAGAUGUGUUAUCGGGAAAUGAGAUGCCUAAUAAAUCUUUGGCAUAAUGUUAUUGAAUUAGUGGGGACUCGGGACCAGAUACCAUCUUAAAUCUUUUCCAGGUCACUGCUUUUGAUAGCGAUAUAUUAGAGUCCCACAUGAUACACUUGGGUAUCUGCCGUCGUUUUCUCAUCACCUCUAUCUGGCGAGACAUUGGCGAGGGUGCGACACUGAAUAAUAAAUGAGUCUGAAUUUUCUGAUGGAAUUUCCAUUUAUUUUUCAGGAUAGAGGAUUUACACCUAAUACCUCGCAGUGACCCUUCCAACAGUUGCUGUUUGUGGCACAGAUUAACAGUGAGAUCUCCAUCUCGUCCGUGGCAUUUAAAAGACACUUAUUAGUCGGAGGACUCAAAUCUUAGAUGUUCAAGCCGAAUUGAAGUGACCACCCUUAGAAUAAAUAUUGGGAAAAUAUCAGUAAAGCAUCAAAUCUACUCUUACAACGCAAACAAACACGUUUUACGCGCUUUAAGUCUAAAUCUUAUCAUCUUGUCUACAAUUCUGCCUGCCUGGUUUGAAGUGUUCUUUUAACAUGUGAAUUACCAAAGUCAUUCGGGUCGAUUUGGGGAGAUAUAAAUAUUUGCACCACAAUGAAUGGCAAUCGGUCCAAUAGUUGCACAAUAUUUUGCUCCAAGCCCCAAAUGUGAGCCCGGUAAAAGGAAAAGGAAAAGUCGGAGGUCCCUGGAUUCAUCGCCAUGAACAUUUGCACUACAACGAUGUUCUAAUCCAUCUCUAAGAUGUUUAGAUAUUUCACGGUGAGGUCUGCUAACCUCUGUUCAUCCUCUGGGGAACGGGAAUGGCCAUCCAGCGAUUGGCACAGAUGUUUCAGUUUUGAUCAAAGUGGUGGACCAAUCAACCAUCAUGGCCAUCCGUUGAGCUCUACCACCGCCAUGGCCAAAGAUCCGGACGACUUACAUCCCUAUUUUUGAAUCACCCGGCACGUUCAUGGAAGUGGAGGGUGCACGAAUCAGACGGCUUUGGCACAUGUUCGUGGAUUUCAUGACGUUACAAGAGCGAUCGCAGACUCUUCCCCGUCUUAAACUUACAUAGAUCACCUCCUCGCUCUGACCUUUCCUCUGCUUACAGUUUUAGCAACGGAGAAAGCUCGUGCUACUUUCCUACGGAUGAAAGCAGGAGCUAAAUACCUCACAAGUGAGUGUAAACAAGCACACACACCCUCACAUGACAGAUCUUUCCUUUCUUCCCAACAAGGCUGGUAAUCGGAUGCCUGGAUGCCCCUUGCCAUCCCUCAUUACCCAGCAUUCCUGAGGGCCACAUGCCGAGGGCGCGGCAGAAAGACUGGUGCGAGGUUGGCGCGGGGCCAGGUGACAGUGAUUGAUCCAAUAUGAUUGAUGGCUACAGCUGAUGCACCAGCUCUGUUUUCAAUUGUUCUUCUGUCUGGCACUUCGCACCUUGUAAAAGUGCUUUAAGCGUUGGUAUGAGUGAGGGCGAGCAGUGCUGGACGUAGACAAUGGUAAGUGUGAAAAGUUACUACGGGGUGGAACGUGAGGGACGACCAGACAUUGUCGAAUUCCAAAGCCGUCGACUGAAAAAACAGGGCAGCUGUCAACGUUUAGCAGCACUAGCAUCGUUUUUUAUAGGACAAAGCAACCAGCAACCAGCAUCAAAUACGUUGCAUCAAACAGACCUUUCAAGAUACAGUGAAGCCUGCGACUCCAACGAACUGCUCGUUUUUGCAGAAUAUGCAGAACAAUGGUUCAAUCUUGAACCGAGGAGGCCACACGGAUAGACAAAACACAAGCAAAUGAAAGAAAACACACCGCUCAGCCUGUCUGUUUUCAAAGGGCAGAAGUCUCAGCACAUAGAACCAUUUGAUCCACCAGCUGUAAUCACCCACCAACAUUGCGACCAGUUCUUCAUUCUACCAGGGCACUGAAAAAAAAAGCAAAGAUCAUAAUUGUUUCCGCGUUAAAUGGAAAUACGCGCUCUCCCGUCCAAAGGGAUCUUGGCUAAACGUUCAGCCGGGGUGGCACCAGGUGGCAACAGGUGCCCCCCUCCCCCGACCUUCCCCGACCCCCCCUCUCUUCCCCACAGCUCCACUCGUCCCGCGGUGAGCCGCAUAGCUGAACUGCUUUCUGCGUUUCUGCUUGGCGGCCAGCGCGAGUUGCUUUGUGUCCCGGGCCGGGAGGGAACGUAUCGGGAGGAGCGGGGAGCUCCACGGCGUGCCAACCGAGUAAGGGAAGAUAUAAAAGCCUCAUCUGUGACCUUCUGAGACACCAAUAGCUGUUUGCCCUUUACUGCACUGCUCUGCUCCUGUAUUGUGUCGGUAGAAACAAAGAAAGACGGCUUCAGGAGUGAUUCGGCUGAUAUCAACCUAUCAUGUGAUUUAGCAAUUUUAGGCAGACGCCGACAUUCGUUUUGUGCAAUAAAUUGUGAGGCUAAAUUUGGUGGACAUUUUAAUCCAAAUCAAAAGGCUCGCCAAGCCUUUUUGCAGUGAGCGAUGGUGGUGUGCGUGUCUGCUCAGGGAGUCGGUUAAUAAACGUGACAUUUGUGCCAAAGCUACUGAUAUUAGACUGAAAAAUGACUCUGGCUCUGAUGUUGUUCACCAGUAGACAUUAUUAAGCUACACUCGAGUCUGCUUUAACUCCAACUCACCCAAUUGGAUGUCAAGAGGGAAAAGAGAAGGUCGGCACGUUUUCACUUGUUUAGGAAAAAGAGACAUUUUCUUUUCUGCUGCUAAAUAUGGGAAACUAUCAUGGAACUUUUUAUUCCGUUCCUGUUCUUUUGAACCCAGUUUUGGUCGUCCCUUAUCGAUUGUUACGUCAACGUUUUCUUUGCGUUUCAGAUGCCGAGCUACACAGGAAAGAAAAACCUUCUUUGUGAUGUAUUUCAUCUCCGCGGCCACAGACGGGUUGUGGAGUCGGCAGUUGAUCGAUUUGUUUCCCCUAAAGAUCCUCGGUUGAGUGGGAUUGGUGACAAAGCCUUGGUUCUGUUUAUAUGGGCCCCCGGUGACCUGAGGGUAUUUGAGCUGCCCUUCGGGGGCCAGUGAUCAGAAUGCUCUGUGUUAUGACCACGAGCACCAUGGAAGGGGUUAAGACUCGGUCGGUCUGCGAGGCCUUCAACACACUGGAGGAUCUGCCGUUCCCUCUGCGAGGAUCACAAACCGACAACCUGCCACCCCUCAGUGGCCAAUGAAAAGUACCAAUCGAUCGUUACCUGAAGCCAAACGUUCAAUCGAGACCAAUCCGGUCUGUAGAGGUCGUAUCUUCUGUGCUCACGUGGGCUAUUCUUUUCUUCACCUUUUCUAUCAAUAUAGAAUUUUUUCCCUCUCUAACCUGCCGUCUCCUGCACAUUUUCACUGUGUUUUUGGUUUACAAGAAAUCUUAACUUAAAUAUUUUAUAAAGUUCAGUUCGGAGCAUCGAAAUGUUACUUCAUACACAGCUUGCGUCUAUGAGUUUAGGUGAAUGGCUGAUUCAAGGUAGCGCUCUGGUGCAAUUAUUUUAUUAGUCGACGACAUCAAAAAGUAUUUGUCUACUAAGAAUGUGUCUUGAAUAAAGUAUGUAUAGUAAAUGUUACGUGUUUAAACUCUGUGUCUAUGCUGAGAUUACAUUUGAAGAACAACAGUACGAGUUUACAUGUCAGAUGUGUCGUGUUAUUGCAUGAAUGUCUACUUCAGGUUCAAACUAACAGCUGCAGUAUCCUCUAAUCCCGUAAUAACAAGUAAUAAGUAUGUAUCUUUACACUGAUGGUGCUCUUUAUUACUGUUGUGCUUUGGAAUAAUACCACAGAGAUAGAAGUAAAACAGUUUUUUUUCAAAUAUUCAUUCAAUUAAUCUGCAAAUCAGAGUUAAAUAAAACUACCUAGAAGCAGGAAAUAUCUAAAUGAUUCUUUAAAUACAGACAGGUUUUAUAUUCUAAACCACUUUCACUGUCAGCUACACAACCGUUUUCUCUAUUUCCUAAACCAUCACACGUAAUAUACUUAUAACUGUAAGGUUUAGAAGAUGUGAGGUGGGGUCAAAGGGUCGUCGGCAGCUCGCGCACAAAAAGGCCAGGCGGACCAAUAAGACACCAGUUUUUGCUCGUGGCAUUUUUUUUUAAUCAAAGUAGCAUAAGAGAAUAUGGUUUGAAGCCUCGAAGGGGUUCUGCCGUGAAUGUUUGCCCCGCCGCACACGCAAAAUGAAGUCAUGUGUUCCACCAGGGACGCACCGCGUUUGUGCGAUCCAUCACAUCAGGCAUUAUCAGUCACAUAAUGAAGGCUUUGGUUCCACUCCCAUGCUUUCCUUCUUCUCACACUCCUCAGACCCCCCUUC